UAUUCACUUAUUAAAAUAGCUCCAGUAAAGGCGUCAGCGUCAGUUCAUGUUGAACAGCUGAGAUUCAGUCUACAACAGAUUGUUGUGGAGUUUAUCGCCUCUUGUAGUCCGACAGGAGACUCCUCUGACGUCACCCGCCGAGUCUGUAAGCUCCGCCCCGCGCACAAACUCCGCUGCAGACAGAAGUUCAGCUGUCGAACAAUAACUGACGCAUUUACUGGAGCUAAUCUUGAUUUUGCUCUUUUCUGAUUUAGAUACAACACCGGAUUAUGCUAUAAUCUUUAAGGAGACAUGACUAAAUGACUAAUGAAGGAGCGAUCUGUAGACGAAAGACAAGAAGAGAAUGAAAGAGAAAAAUGUAAAGUUAAAACCUAAAGAACCAGGAGAGGAAAAGACGCUGAUGUUAGUCAGAAGAAACAGCUUUGAUAACUUCAGACUAAACUUUUCUCAAGAUGUUCCAGAAAAAGUGUCAGACUCUCACACAUCAUCUUCUCCAGCAGCUGAUUCCUGAUCUUCAGAUAGAGUUCAGUUUUCUGAAGAUCAACACAAAUCUGAUCAGCUUGAUCCUGAUGAGGACACAUUUCUCUCCUGAUGGGAGUGUUGUCCUCCAGGAUGAGGACACGAGGAUCACUGAAGGGUUCAGUCUCCAGAUCUAAACUCAUUUAAACAGCUGAGAGAUUGAUGAAGACAGCGCUCUGUGUGUAAUAUAGCCUUGUGCAGCACCAGUGUCAUAGAUCUGUUUCUCAGUGAAAACAUGUAAAGCUUUAAUGCAGUGAUUAUCAAACUCAUAUACUGUACACUUUUAAUGUCUCCUUACAGUAUGACACAUGCUUUUAAAGUUGGGGAGUCUCUAAUAAUGAAUUAAUGACUGCAUUGCAAGAAAUAUGAACUAGAAUACAAUUGUAUUUAUUUUUACUGUACUGCAAUAAAUCUGUACAACACCAGGGUAUAAAACUGGUUCACACUUGUAAAAAUGAAUAAAAGAAGAAAAAGUCUUUCCUUCAAAUGUUUGUUUGUUUUCAUGAAGUAGUUUAUUGUUCAGUGAAUAAACAACAGCAAGAGUAAGAAUCACAUCAACAUCUACAACUACAUCUAGAAAUGGAGAUUACAGGAAUGAUGUAUAUGUUAAUCAAUCUGAUGAUUAUUAUCUAUUUUGACAUUAAACUAUAUCCUUAAAUGCAUUAUAGCACUGAUAAAUAGAUGCUUCAAAUACAUAUACAGAUAUAUAUAUUCCAGUCAUGAAAUUACAGCUGACAGAGUAAGAUAACAAGAACAAUGUGGAUUUACUUUUACAUUCUACGAUUGCGUUUUAGUGUCACGUAAAAAAAAAAAAAAAAAAAAAAAAAAUCAGAGAUUACAAGAUUAAAGUC